GACAGAAAAAGAGAUACCGAGAGAGACAGCGGGAGAAACUACCUCGAGAAGUCUGAUGAGAAUCUGAGCUGAGACUACUUACUAGGCCAAAGAAAAAGACUCACUCUGGAUGAAGACUUUUUCUGAGUAGGACCAAUCAGCACUUCGAACAGGUUUCAAAGAUUUCCCGUAAGACACCUUUGCCAGGACAAAAAUGAAACCUUUUAUUUUAUGUAAAGGACCAGCCAAAGUGAGAAAAGACAGACAAACACACUGACAGAACAGCCAGAAUAUACAUACAGACAAACACGUAGAGGAGCAACGGACAGGACAGAUAGACGCACAUGCAGAGGAGCAACAUAAAGGACAGAUUGAAGAACAUACAGAGGA